rnacentral:rRNA from 1 species
AGCUCCAAUAGCGUAUAUUAAAAUUGUUGCAGUUAAAAAGCUCGUAGUUGAAUUUCUGCUAGAAAUAACCGGUUUGCUUUUAUUAAUAAAAGUGGUAUCUUGGUGUGUUUCUAGCAAUAAUGUUCUUUGAAAUGUUUUUUACUUAAUUGUAAAAAGCAAAUUUCAGGAUUUUUACUUUGAGAAAAUUAGAGUGUUUCAAGCAUGCUAACGUUUUGAAUACUGCAGCAUGGAAUAAUAAAAUAGGAUUUUAGUUCUACGUUAUUGGUUUUAAGAACUAAAUUAAUGAUUGAUAGGGGCAGUUGGGGGCAUUUGUAUUUAACUGUCAGAGGUGAAAUUCUUAGAUUUGUUAAAGACACACUACUGCGAAAGCAUUUGCCAAAGAUGUUUUCA